GUCUUCACUUCAAAUUAAAAGCUUGUUGGUGUCUGAAGUUCAUAACUCUGUGUGUGUGUGUGUCUCAGGAGGCGGUCUCCAGUGUUUGGGUUGUAAUGUAGGCGGUGGGCGUGGCCGGGGGCGGGGCUACGUGGAGCUGGGCUGCGGCCAACCAGAAACCAUCAACUGCAGUCGAACAGAGAGAGGAUUCAAACUGCGAUUCUGCAUCACGACGUACAGCAAGUCCCUGGACCUGGUCUUGUCUCGGGGAUGCGCGACGUCUCGUCACUGUCAGCAGACGGAGCUUCCCGGAGUGUCGGUCGCUUGCUGCGAUUGGUCGCUGUGUAAUGUCGGGUGGCGGUGGGCGGGGUCGCUCGCUACCGUGAUCCUCAGCUUCAUCACCGGCGGCUGGUUUCCUCUGCGGGAUCUGGCGGCACGCUGAGAACUGAUCCUGGAUCCGUGCCGGGCCGCAGGCUGGAGGCGGAACAGCUGCAGGUGUUCGUCUUUAUUAUUUCUCUGUGUCUGACGCUGCAGAGAGUUUACAGAAGCAAGAGACUCAGCAUUUAACAGCUCUGACCUUUUCCUUUGGGUCAGCACUCACAUUACUCCCUGAACACAGAAAUCCCACACGUGCCAUCAUGAAACCCUGUAGCCGGCUGGGUUGUGUGCUCGUUUGAUCUGCUUUUGGCGCCGACCUGAGUGCGGCCGCUGCGUUCACACCUGCCGGCCGCACCGAGGGGGAAACGACCUUUGGUGCGACUCAACAGAAGUAAGUGAGGCAGCUGGGAAAAGGCCCCCUGAGGCUGUGUUUAAUUUAAUCCUCGCGCGGGUUUUUAUCUCUGGACAACCGAACACUGACAACGCCAAUAAACACAACGUGCAAAUAACUCCAGCUGUAUGAACCCAAAGGAAACAUGCUGCUGUGGUUAAAUAACAAUAAACGGAUCAAACUGAUGCUGAAAUAACAUGAUGCAGAUCUGUUAAACAUGCUUUGUCAGCAGGACAGCAGCUGUUAAACCGUUUGUUUUCUGAAUGGAGUUUGGUUCGAUCAGGGCUACGUUACGUUAACCUGUUCACAGUAAAGUACAACCACAGCUGGAAUAAAGUUACAGACACACGUUUUCUGAACUCACCAGGUAGUUCAGCUUCCUCGCUUUCUUUUCUCCAGCAAUGUCCACUUUUCAGGUUUUUAUAUAAAUAGUCCUGCAGCGCUAACGACAGCAACAGUGGAACCGGAUGUGCACGGAAGCUCCAGUGAAGAUAAAUCAGCGUUUAAAACCCGAAAACUAAAGUAAAAAGCUGAUUUAAUGAAAGCAGUUUAACUCUGAGCUGCUCUCGCGGGUAAACGGCUCAGCUGUCCAGAUUCUGCUCUGCACUUUCCCGUACUUCAGCAGCUCUACGUCGGCCAGCGCCGUUUCACUCCCCCGCUCUGCCCGGUCUUCUCCACACGGCGCUCUGAAGCUCCAAAACGCUGGAUUCGCUUUCAGUGUGAAGACGCCAUGAACCCCGACGUCCCCCGGGACCUUUUGUCCAUCGGUCUCUCCCUCAUUUCCUGUCCCCUCUCUCUCUCUGAUGGAGUAACAACACCAUUAACGAGGAGAUGGACAGGAUGUGAUUGGUUCAGGUAUAAACACGCUGUCUAGAUGACAUAAAGGUUUGUUUUGUUCCUGCUUGUCAUUUCCCCAAUAAACUGAUCAAACUGA